AUUGAACGCUGGCGGCAUGCCUUACACAUGCAAGUCGAACGGCAGCAUGGGAGCUUGCUCCUGAUGGCGAGUGGCGAACGGGUGAGUAAUAUAUCGGAACGUGCCCAAGAGUGGGGGAUAACCAGUCGAAAGAUUGGCUAAUACCGCAUACGAUCUAAGGAUGAAAGUGGGGGAUCGCAAGACCUCAUGCUCCUGGAGCGGCCGAUAUCUGAUUAGCUAGUUGGUGGGGUAAAGGCCUACCAAGGCAUCGAUCAGUAGCUGGUUUGAGAGGACGACCAGCCACACUGGGACUGAGACACGGCCCAGACUCCUACGGGAGGCAGCAGUGGGGAAUUUUGGACAAUGGGGGCAACCCUGAUCCAGCAAUGCCGCGUGUGUGAAGAAGGCCUUCGGGUUGUAAAGCACUUUUGUCAGGGAAGAAACGGCGAGGGCUAAUAUCCCUUGCUAAUGACGGUACCUGAAGAAUAAGCACCGGCUAACUACGUGCCAGCAGCCGCGGUAAUACGUAGGGUGCAAGCGUUAAUCGGAAUUACUGGGCGUAAAGCGUGCGCAGGCGGUUGUGCAAGACAGAUGUGAAAUCCCCGGGCUCAACCUGGGAAUUGCAUUUGUGACUGCACGGCUAGAGUGUGUCAGAGGGGGGUAGAAUUCCACGUGUAGCAGUGAAAUGCGUAGAUAUGUGGAGGAAUACCGAUGGCGAAGGCAGCCCCCUGGGAUAACACUGACGCUCAUGUACG
rnacentral:rRNA from 1 species